GCCAUCAUGGCUCAGUGGUUGAGUGUCGACCUAUGAACCAGGAGGUCAAGGUUCGAUUCCCUGUCAGGGCA
rfam:Myotis lucifugus cont2.17366, whole genome shotgun sequence.